rnacentral:rRNA from 1 species
AUUGAACGCUGCCGGCAGGCCUAACACAUGCACGUCGAACGCGUGGCGGACGGGUGAGUAUUGUCUGGGAACCUGCCCGAUGGAGGGGGAUAACUUCUGGAAACGGUAGCUAAUAACGUAUACUAUCGUAUCUGCCCAGAUGGGAUUAGCUAGUAGGUGGGGUAACGGGGCAUCUAGGAGACGCUCUCUAGCUGGUCUGAGAGGAUGACCAACCACACUGGAACUGAGCCACGGUCCAGACCCCGACGGGAGGCAUCAGUGGGGAAUAUUGCACAAGGGGCGCAAGCCUGAUGCAGCCAUGCCGCGGGUAUGAAGGAGGCCUUCGGGUUUGAAAGGACUUUCAGCGAGGAGGCGUUACUCGCAGAAGAAGCACCGGGUAACUCCGUGCCAGCGGCGGCGGUAAUAC